rnacentral:rRNA from 1 species
AUUGAACGCUGGCGGCAUGCCUUACACAUGCAAGUCGAACGGCAGCACGGGAGCAAUCCUGGUGGCGAGUGGCGAACGGGUGAGUAAUGUAUCGGAACGUACCUUUCAGUGGGGGAUAACGUAGCGAAAGUUACGCUAAUACCGCAUAUUCUGUGAGCAGGAAAGCAGGGGAUCGCAAGACCUUGCGCUGAUUGAGCGGCCGAUAUCAGAUUAGCUAGUUGGUGAGGUAAAGGCUCACCAAGGCGACGAUCUGUAGCGGGUCUGAGAGGAUGAUCCGCCACACUGGAACUGAGACACGGUCCAGACUCCUACGGGAGGCAGCAGUGGGGAAUUUUGGACAAUGGGCGCAAGCCUGAUCCAGCAAUGCCGCGUGAGUGAUGAAGGCCUUAGGGUUGUAAAGCUCUUUUACCAGGGAUGAUAAUGACAGUACCUGGAGAAUAAGCUCCGGCUAACUCCGUGCCAGCAGCCGACGG